AGUGCAGGUCUGCAGGAAGGGCCUGCCUCCACUCAUGCAGGUACCUGGGAUCACCUGUCCAUUGGCUACACUGCCCUUUAGGGCCUCCAAAUCCCCAGCUGAAUUAUUCCCAUCCAUCUAGUAGGAAAGGAAAAAAGAAUGUUGAAGGAUCAUGCAAAAUGUUUUAGGGGCCAGUCCUGGACGUAAAAUAUGUUACAUUGGCUAGAAUGCUGUUACACAUUGCCACCUAUUUCAAGAGAUGCUGAGAUUUGGAGUCUUCUUGGGUGCCCAGAGAUUUGAGUAUCACCUAGCACUGUUUCUGCUUCAGGGAAAUGGAAGUAGAACUCUGAAGCUAAAUCAGAGGACUCCAAGCAAAUGAAGUGACUGAAAGCAAGAAUGGCUCAUUGCCCUUGAGCUACACAGAAAUGUAUAGGUGGGUGUAUUGGGUCGGUUCCCUGGAAGCACAACCUCAGAUGGGGAUUCUUGUGCAAAAGAUACACGGAGGAAGAGCUCAAGGAAGUAACUUGCAAUGAAGCAAGGGGAGCAAGCUGGAGCAGGAGAAAAGAUCAGGCAAAGGCAUGCUUUCAGAAGUCUAGCCUCGGCCUCAUCCACAGGGAGCUCCAGAGAGUGAAUGGUACCAUGCAGCUGGUCAACCUUCUUGGAGGAGGGAGCUGCUGAUAGCCUUCAGUAGACAGCACUUGCACUAGCCAAGGGAUGAGUGCACCAGCCCAGUGGAGGGGAUCUGGGUAGAGCACCUAUGCCAUCUGCUAUAAUAGGAAGGACAUGCUUUUCCUUUUCGUAUCCUCUACCUGAAGCAAUAUAUCACGUACUCAGCAGACGCUCAAUAAGUGUUUGAGAAAUGAAGAAACAAAAAGACAGAGGGAAGGAGAGAAGAAAAGAAACAAGAUUACAGAAAAUUCUAAAAUACUCUUGGGCUCCAAGAAAUGCAUCUUCAAAUAAGGAACUUCACAUACUUAUGCUGAGCAAUGAGAGAGAUAUUUUGAGAAACCUGAAAAAAUAAGAGAACUUUGAGUUUUCAGUGCUCUGGAAAUGGCAAAAAGUGCCCUUUCCAGAUCUGUUCACCAGUUCCGUGCAUCCUCAGCUGCUAUGUGGUCCAUGUGCUCUGAACUCAUGCCUGCGACAUUCUCUGGAGGAUUACUAUUGAGCAACUGGAGCCACCUCACCUGCAAGGAGUUUACAAUCCCCCUGAGCCAUCCCAUAGUCAACGAAUGACUUGUGAAGGAAGGACAGACUCUCAAUUCUCAGGAAUCCCGCCAUGGACGACCUGCUCCUUGCUCCAGCCUGGCCAGUGCUUUGAAGUGAUAACACCAAGAGUUGCUGUUUAGGAAGGCAAGGAAGAAACAUCAGUGUCUCGUCUAGCCUCAGAAAAAAACGACUUCCUAUUUUUACUACUGUUAUGAAUCCCUCACUCAUGGACACCUUUGUGACGUGACUUCCAAGUUGCUAUUCUAUUUUCUGGCUGGAACCUGCAAACUCCAAUCUGGAAGUAUAUCUCUUUAGGGAAAGGGAAGGAAGACCAGAACCAGUGUUUAUUAAAUACCUACUAAAUGUCAAAUUUACUAUGCAUAGCUCUACAUAUGCUAUAUAAAUUACCCAUGAAAAAAA
ensembl:lncRNA novel transcript